rnacentral:misc_RNA from 1 species
GUAUAUAUUAUAUAGGCACAACAUUCUAUUAACAUACAUUGGGGGUAAAUGAAGCAACAUAGACCCCGAAAGGUCUACAAAAGGUGCACAGGUGGAGAUAUAAAGAUGACAAGGCGUGCACAUGCUCCCUAGAGAGCCAGCAACAACCCAUCAGGUUUAUUUCAAUAAUGAUCCUUCCGCAGGUUCACCUACGGAAA